UUCCCUGUCUCAAAGGAUGAGCACCAGCCUACGAAGCUGGAUGAUGGUGGUUCGAUUCCAUCCAGGGAAGCCA
rnacentral:tRNA from 1 species